rnacentral:rRNA from 1 species
UACGUAGUGUGCGAGCGUUGUCCGGAAUUAUUGGGCGUAAAGGGCUCGUAGGCGGUCUGUCACGUCGGGAGUGAAAACUCGGGGCUUAACCCCGAGCCUGCUUCCGAUACGGGCAGACUAGAGGUAUGCAGGGGAGAAUGGAAUUCCUGGUGUAGCGGUGAAAUGCGCAGAUAUCAGGAGGAACACCGGUGGCGAAGGCGGUUCUCUGGGCAUUACCUGACGCUGAGGAGCGAAAGUGUGGGGAGCGAACAGG